AGAAUCAACGCUGGCGGCGUGCCUAACACAUGCAAGUCGCACGAGAAAGGGGCUUCGGCUCUGAGUAAAGUGGCGCACGGGUGAGUAACACGUGAAUAAUCUACCUCCGAGUGGGGAAUAACUGAGAGAAAUCUUAGCUAAUACCGCAUAACACUUACGAGUCAAAGCAGCAAUGCGCUUGGAGAGGAGUUCGCGGCCGAUUAGUUAGUUGGCGGGGUAAUGGCCCACCAAGACGAUGAUCGGUAUCCGGCCUGAGAGGGCGCACGGACACACUGGAACUGAAACACGGUCCAGACUCCUACGGGAGGCAGCAGUGGGGGAAUUUUGCGCAAUGGGGGAAACCCUGACGCAGCAACGCCGCGUGGAGGAUGAAAUAUCUUGGUAUGUAAACUCCUUUCGAUGGGAAGAUUAUGACGGUACCAUAGAAGAGCCCGCUAACUUCGUGCCAGCAGCCGC
rnacentral:rRNA from 1 species